rnacentral:lncRNA from 1 species
GGGAGCGACUUCGGUGGUAGCGCGUAUAUCAGGCUAAGGAUCAGUACGCAGUUACUGCUGUUCUGUUCUGUUGUGUUGAAGUUUCUCCGGUCGCGUUUCAAACUUACGUGAAAAAUAAAUCCUAGGAAUCUUUUAUAUAUGAGUGCGGUUUCUAGUUCUGAUUUAGUGAUAACUCUGGAAGAAGUGUUCAGUUUGAUCUACAUAUUUGCAAAAAGUGCUUAACAAUCAGUAGCUACAGAAAGACCUAUAUCAUUCGGAGUUUUGUGAAUUCCGUAACUCGGAAAUUUUUCCAUAAGAGGUAGUGCGCAGUGUCUUUGUAUCGUGACCAUCACGUGUCGAUGCUUCCGAACGGUCCGCAAUUCGUCUCGAUGAAUUUGAGGCUUUUAAUUGGUCAUCAUGGUCGCUAAUUCGUCGUAGUACUUAUACAACUUCCAACCACGAAAGGCAGAGGUUACAUGGCAUCGCACAAUUCGUUUACAGGUACUCUGAGAUUCUGUCGCCGCAGUUAUGACCCCCUGGAC